GGUUAUGUCCUCUCAAAAUUCAUGUGCUGAAAUCUAAUCUCCAAGGUGAUGGUAUUAGAAUGUGGAACAUUUGGGAAGUGAUUAUGUCAUGAGGGUGGGAUGGGAUUAGUGUCCUUAUAAAAGAGGCCCCAGAGAGUUCCAUCAUCCUUUCCAUCAUGUGACAACACAGUGAGAAAAUGGCUGCCUGUGAACCAGGAAGUAGGCCCUCAGCAGACAAGGAAUCUCCUAGCACCUUGAUCUUGGACUUCCCAGCCUCCAGAACUCUGAUGGACUGCUCACAAUUCCCUGAGGCAACGCUAUUAUAUCAAAAAUGAGGUUGUGAGAGCUAACUGAUUCAUUCAAAAUCAAGUUAAAGGCAGAGCUGGAAUUGAAGGAGUUGUUCUUAAGCAUUCUAAACGAAGUGAGAGUAGCUGUCUAUCUCCUGUAGUGCUAUGUAUUUCCAGUCAUCAUCCAGAACAACAA